rnacentral:tRNA from 1 species
UGUCGAAUAGUGUAAUGGUAGCACCGCAGAUUCUGGUUCUGCUCGUGAGGGUUCGAGUCCUUCUUCGACAG